CCUACGGGUGGCAGCAGUGAGGCAUCUUGGUCAAUGGGCGCGAGCCUGAACCAGCCAAGUCGCGUGAGGGAAGACGGUCCUAUGGAUUGUAAACCUCUUUUGUCGGGGAGCAAAAGACGCCACGCGUGGCGUUCCGCGCGUACCCGAAGAAAAAGCAUCGGCUAACUCCGUGCCAGCAGCCGCGGUAAUACGGAGGAUGCGAGCGUUAUCCGGGUUUAUUGGGGUAAAAGGGUGCGCAGGCGGAAGAUCAAGGCAGCGGUAAAAUUGAGAGGCUCAACCUCUUCGAGCCGUUGAAACUGGUUGGCUUGAGUGAGCGAGAAGUAUGCGGAAUGCGUGGUGUAGCGGUGAAAUGCAUAGAUAUCACGCAGAACUCCGAUUGCGAAGGCAGCAUACCGGAGCGCAACUGACGCUCAUGCACGAAAGUGUGGGUAUCGAACAGGAUUAGAUACCCGGGUAGUC
rnacentral:rRNA from 1 species